AACGGUCUAUACCUGCGGUACCUGCGGAGGGAUCAUUAUCAAUUUACGGCGGACUUCGGUCCUGUCUGCACCCUUGUCUUUUGCGUACUAUAUGUUUCCUCGGUGGGCUUGCCUGCCGAUAGGACACUUAUAAACUCUUUUGUAAUUGCAAUCAGCGUCAGAAAACUAUAAUAGUUACAACUUUUAACAAUGGAUCUCU
rnacentral:misc_RNA from 1 species